CACCACCUGUGGAUGUUCGGGAUGCCUUCCAUCUUCUUCCAGGGCUGAGGGGAGGUCAAAGCACACAGUUGAGUUGCCUGGUACACACAGUUGCCAUUUGUGGUAAGAUGCAUAGACUUCCCUUCCUUGGGGUGAAACCAUGGAGUUUCUUUCUCUCUCUCUUUUCUUUGCUCUUUUGUGGUGUACCGGUGGGUAAUUUCUUCUUUUAAAUUCAUGCUAAUCUAACCUGGAUGUUUGUUUGACUUUUCGAGUUUACUUUUUUGAGAUGUGCGGAUCCUCCAGGGACUAUGCCCAGGUGGGGUCAGGCAUGUUUCCUCAUGGAACUGAGCUCACCAUACUCCAAAGGUAACCUCACGGUGUGUCACUGUCUUGACUGGUGACAUCAACAAAAUGGCAUUUUGUUCAUGCCAUGUGGUUUCCUGAACCAAGAUGACAGCAUCCCUAACACUCCCCAAACUUUCUGGUACCACUGAGCCCUCAGGAGAUCACCACACACCGUAGGAUUCAGUCACACAUCCCAAUCCUCUUCUCUUUUUGGAUUUUUACCUUCUUGGAUGCCUAAUAUGACCACAGAAACAGAAGACCAGAGGAGAUUCCAGCAUGGGCUCCGAGCCUCGGAAUAAGACCAGGUGUAUCUGCUUCUAAAGGAUCCUCACCUGAGGGCUAGAGAGGUGGCUCAGCAGUUAAGACCAUCACUGCUCUUCCAGAGGACCCAGGUUCAGUUCCCAGCACCCACAUCAGGCAGCUCACAACACCUGUAACCCCAGCUCCAGUGGGGUCUCACAGCUCUGGCCUCUAUUGGCCUCUUCACUCACAGGCCCACACACAUAUAAUUAAGAUAAUAAAAAUUGUCACAGCU